AUUGAACGCUGGCGGCAGGCCUAACACAUGCAAGUCGAGCGGAGCGGCGGACGGGUGUGUAAUGCCUAGGAAUCUGCCUGGUAGUCGGGGAUAACGUCGGGGAAUGGGCGCUAAUACCGCAUGCUCUCAGUUGAGCCUCGGUCGGAUUAGCUAGUGGGUGGGGUAAAGGCCUACCAAGGCGACGAUCCGUAACUGGUCUGGGAGGAAGAUCAGUCACACUGGAACGGAGACACGGUCCAGACUCCUACGGGAGGCAGCAGUGGGGAAUAUUGGACAAUGGGCGAAAGCCUGAUCCAGCCAUGCCGCGUGUGUGAAGAAGGUCUUCGGAUUGUAAAGCACUUUAAGUUGGGAGGCGUUACCAACAGAAUAAGCACCGGCUAACUUCGUGCCAGCAGCCGCGGUAAUUC
rnacentral:rRNA from 1 species